CGGUCGUGGAGAGCCGUGCGUAGGCGGGUGGAGGAGAGGAGGAAAAGUGAAAGGAAGAGGAGAAAAAGAGAUGAGCAACGAGGGGGGGGGGGGGUGAGGAAGAGGAUGAACAUGAGUCCAGGGGGGUUCCCAUGGCCGAGCAGACUUCAGCUACAGCAGGAUUCACACAAAUCCUCCUCUACGUGCCGUCAGAGCUUCAAAUCGUGACCAGACGAAGGAAAAAAAAGUUUACCUACGGUUAAACAGCGUGAAGGGCCAGAAAUCGAAGGAUUCACUCGCUGACGUCAAAGACAGUGGCUCGCAAAUCUGCACAGAUCGGACAUCAAAACUACAAGCUACAAAUACACACAAGAGCACAACAGGAUUUUACACAACAUUAAGUGGAUGGGAUCUAAGGGAAUACUGCAGAGAUGGGGAACGCUGGAGGAGAGUGACAUGAACUGGCCUAAUUAAGCCCCCGUCCCCGCCCCCUCCCCCGCCAUCCACCGAAUUAACCUCCACCUACCGUCCU
rnacentral:lncRNA from 1 species